AACGUAGGAGGCAAGCGUUAUCCGAAUUUACUGGGCGUAAAGCGCGUGCAGGCGGUUCGGUAAGUUGGAUGUGAAAUCUCCUGGCUCAACUGGGAGAGGUCGUUCAAUACUGUCGGACUAGAGGAUGGCAGAGGGAGGUGGAAUUCCCGGUGUAGUGGUGGAAUGCGUAGAUAUCGGGAGGAACACCAGUGGCGAAGGCGGCCUCCUGGACCAUUCCUGACGCUCAGACGCGAAAGCUAGGGGAGCGAAC
rnacentral:rRNA from 1 species